CCCUACGGGGCGCAGCAGUAAGGAAUAUUGGUCAAUGGGCGAGAGCCUGAACCAGCCAAGUCGCGUGAGGGAUGACUGCCCUAUGGGUUGUAAACCUCUUUUGUAUGGGGGGAAUAAGCUUUACGAGUAGAGUGAUGACAGUACCAUACGAAUAAGCAUCGGCUAACUCCGUGCCAGCAGCCGCGGUAAUACGGAGGAUGCGAGCGUUAUCCGGAUUUACUGGGUGUAAAGGGCGUGUAGCCGGGCCGACAAGUCAGAUGUGAAAUCCGGGGGCUCAACCCCCGAACUGCAUUUGAAACUGUUAG
rnacentral:rRNA from 1 species